UCAGGUGUCUGUGACGCCCCGCCCUCUGUGCUCAGGUGUCUGUGACGCUCCGCCCUCUGUGCUCAGGUGUCUGUGACGCUCCGCCCUCUGGGCUCAGGUGUCUCUGUGUGAGCCUCACAUCUCCCUGCCAGGUCUUGAGUCACGACUCUACUCUCUUGCCUCCAGGUUUUUAUGCGUGGUUCUCACCAGCCCUGAAAGCCUGUGUAGUCAGUGUGAGGAGGAAAGGGCCACCAUGGAGCAACCUGCCAGAUGCCAUCACCAGGAAACGCACUCAUCAACACGCGGGACGUCGCGUGAGCCUUGCUGAGUUUUCCUGCAUUUGUCAGCUGCCCGGCUGUGACACUCUCCAGUGGCUGUCAAGGUGCCAAAGCGAGCAGGAGUGGACGCAGAGGGGAGACGGUGCAGGGACGUUUGGGAAGGUCGAGAUGGAAGCAUCCUGAUUUUACACGGUCACUUCCUACUGGAGCUUCUGAAGGAGAUGCGGGGCACAGGGGGUGUGUCUCCAUCUUUGUUCUCUGCUGGCUGCCCACAGAGCCCAGAGACGAGCUUCCUGCUGGGCGUGGGACAAUGCCACUCAGGGGGUUGGGGUGCAGGGUGGCUGCGUGAGGGGCACAGCAGGCUUGGGGUCACUGCUGCUCUAGGGAAUGCACCCCUGGCCAUGGCACCCCACUUCUGAACUGCAAUGAAACCACCAGGGGUUCUGCAGAAGCUUCUCAAGUUACAGAGAGAAACACAGGCCCAAGAUUGAGGUUCAGAAGCACCCAGCACAGUGUCACUGCUGUUUACAGCAGGCGCUGUGUGGGUGCGCAGGCCACCUCACUUUAUCUUCCUAACCGCACUGGGAACAGGGGUUGGUAGCUCUGUUUUAUCAGGGAGAAAGCAGGCAUCUAGGGGCUAGUGAUGCACAAGCCCCAGUCGUGCCCACUGACACCCACUGUCCUCUAUGUAGCUGGGUGUUUGCAAGCUGUUGGGGAGUCUUAGUAAAAAUUAACCUCAUGUGCCUUUUUGGAAAAUCUACUGUCACCCCACUAAGUAACUAACUAACCAGACACUAACUAACUUACUAACUAGCACAGUGGUCCCUUGCUUACAGGAUGCUGCACUCCAAAAUUAUUCCUCCCCAGCAGCCUCCGAGAAACUAAAAUGUGAAUGAAAUCUAACACUGGAAAGAAUAGCAAGGGAAAAUUACUUUCUAAGGCAUGAGGGUAAACAUGCAGGCAGUUUAACUGUGUUCAUUCCAGUGUCACCCUAAAGCGCUGUCACUGCCUCUCUGGGGCCUGAGGCAGGACUGGGCCAGCUUCCCCAGGAGCAGAGCCUGUGCACCGUCUUUUCCCCAGCCCUGACCAGACGGAAGGGUGGGGAGGAGAGGCCUGCUCCCGUUAGCCACCUUACUCCCAGUUUCGCUCAGAGCAGUGGCCAGAGCAGCACCGCGCUCCUGCCUGGGGACGGAGGCUGGACGCGAGUGCUGCCAUCGGCGCACGUCUUAUGUCCUCUGACCCUUGUCCUCCCACUGCCCUGGGAACGGCGGCUCCUGGCACACAGCCUGAGCGUGGAGCAAAGGGGCCACGUGAUCCGGGGAGAGUUCUCUGCCUCACAGCAGAAUACAGGCACGGGCAGCAUCAUCCCAUCCAAGCCUCAGACCUGCUGUCAGUGCUCAGCACAGCUGAGCCCACUGCCUGGCCAGAGUGCUAGUUAGGACCCAGCCGGAGGUGUCCUCUGUAGGACCCUAGUUCCAAUAGGACCGGGAGGCAGCAGGAGUGACAGCCCGUGACGGCCCCCACGCGGCACUCACAGGUUAGAUUACCUCGGACCUGGACUUGGGAAGAUAAAUCUCCCACUUACCCUGUAGUCAGUGAUAAGCCCUGCAAAGGAGAAAGAAAGAAAAAAGGAACCGUUAGACACAUUGGUCGAUUACCUGCCUCAUUCUUUUCCAUCAUCUCUUGAACCGGACCAAAGACCACUGAGGGCAGGGGCUGGGUGUUCAUUGAGAUGAUCCCCAAGGUAUCAGAUUCAAGGGGGGUUCCAGAGAGCAAAGCACAAGAGGAAAUACUGAAUUAGGAGUGGAUCCCCACUCAUUUCACUUUUUGCAGUUUGACAAGCAGGGAAAUCUGAGAUUUCUUCUGUGCCCUGGGGUGAAUUGGCAUUCAAAUUCUGUGAAGUCUUCAUCAUCCAUUCAUUCUUGUGUGGGAAGGUGAAUUUGUGAUAUAGAAGUGAUUUGAAUGUAAAGAAAUCAAACUUUUGAUGGGACUUUAUCUCCGUGUUCUCAUUUCUUAGUCUGGAUUCUGGAGCUGAGUAAAUACCCAGUGAGUGUCUUCCGAGUUGGCUUCAUUAUCUGGGAUUCAAAGGUCUUCACAGGGGUUAUGAACAAGGUCUGGUUCGUAUUUAGGUCUCCUCUUGUGCCAAAAGCAGUAAAGUCAAAGCUGGUGUAUACGGAAGAACACUAGAUGAAGAGUCUCGCAGACGGGAGUCUCUACGUGGGAAUCUUGGGCACAGAAUCAGGAAAUUCUAGUGCAUUGUGCGACAGAAGCUUCAAAGAAGAGAAGUCAGAUGCAGAAGCCUCUAUAGCUGAACAACGUGGUUAAAGAUGGAGUCUGUGUCUCAAAGAACCUGCUUCCCCAAGGACUGGCUGAAGACCUGGUCCAGUUAGGUGCUGGCCUGUACAAGUGUUUCCUGUUAACAUAAAGAAUGCUAAAGCCCUCUCCAGCAGCAAGUCCUAAUAAUGAUGGUGUUACUUACACUGUGGACUACUUACUACAUCCUACAUCCCUUAGUUCAGUUCAGUCACUCAGUUAUGUCCAA